AGAGAUCACUGCGGUGCUCACA
rnacentral:miRNA from 8 species